rnacentral:rRNA from 1 species
GAUGAACGCUGGCGGCGUGCCUAAUACAUGCAAGUCGAGCGAACAGAUGAGGAGCUUGCUCCUCUGACGUUAGCGGCGGACGGGUGAGUAACACGUGGAUAACCUACCUAUAAGACUGGGAUAACUUCGGGAAACCGGAGCUAAUACCGGAUAUAUAUUGAACCGCAUGGUUCAAUAGUGAAAGACGGUUUUGCUGUCACUUAUAGAUGGAUCCGCGCCGCAUUAGCUAGUUGGUAAGGUAACGGCUUACCAAGGCAACGAUGCGUAGCCGACCUGAGAGGGUGAUCGGCCACACUGGAACUGAGACACGGUCCAGACUCCUACGGGAGGCAGCAGUAGGGAAUCUUCCGCAAUGGGCGAAAGCUUGACGGAGCAACGCCGCGUGAGUGAUGAAGGUCUUCGGAUCGUAAAACUCUGUUAUUAGGGAAGAACAAAUGUGUAAGUAACUAUGCACGUCUUGACGGUACCUAAUCAGAAAGCCACGGCUAACUACGUG